GCGGGCGUGGCGGAAUUGGUAGACGCGCUGGUUUUAGGUACCAGUGGGGUAACCCGUGGGGGUUCAAGUCCCUCCGCCCGCACCA
rnacentral:tRNA from 1 species